rnacentral:lncRNA from 1 species
GCAACUUCACAUUGCCAAACUGAACUCAUUCAGUUUCUUGAAAAACAUCAGCAAGUUUAUGCAACUCUGUUAUAUCAGAGAACUAUUUGCUAAGUCUCAUUUGGGAUACAAUAUUUAGUGAUUUCUUGUCUCAUUUGAAAGAGUAAUAACAACACCUUGCCUCAAGACAGUUGGUAAGUGUACUUUCCCAGGAGAAAGUACACUGUGGAACCCACAACCCAAUACAUUCCCAAAAACUAUAAAAAGGCUGAAAUUGGAAUCUCCUGUCUCAUUAAACUGACAAUGUAAAGGAAAUCGCUAAUCACUGUUUUUGCUUUUGUUUUUUGAGACGGAGUCUCGCUCUGUAGCCCAGGCUGGAGUGCAGUGGCGCAAUCUCGCUCACUUGCAAGCUCCGCCUCCCGGGUUCACGCCAUUCUCCUGCCUCAGCCUCCCCAGCAGCUGGGACUAUAGGCGCACACCACCACGCCCGGCUAAUUUUUUGUAUUUUUAGUAGAGAUGGGGUUUCACCGUGUUAGCCAGGACCGUCUCCAUCUCCUGACUUUGUGAUCCUCCCGACUCGGCCUCCCAAAGUGUUGGGAUUACAGGCGUGAGCCACCGCGCCCAGCCUAAUCACUGUUUUAAGAGAUGCUCAUGUCACCUUAAUAGCAAGUGCUUUUCUGUGCAACUUGCCAUGUCUUAUUCAAAAUCACAUUUCACCAAGAAAAUUCCUCAGCACUUUGCACCACUUCAUCCCAUUCUGCAUAGCCUUAUUUUCCUAAUUGGGCUAACAUGACUCUUUUCUUAGCCUGAGAGCCCUGCAAGGGCUGGAACUCUCUUAUUAUGUGCU